AGAGUUUGAUCAUGGCUCAGGAUGAACGCUGGCGGCGUGCCUAACACAUGCAAGUCGAGCGAUUCUCUUCGGAGAAGAGCGGCGGACGGGUGAGUAACGCGUGGGUAACCUGCCCUGUACACACGGAUAACAUACCGAAAGGUAUGCUAAUACGAGAUAAUAUGCUUUUAUCGCAUGGUAGAAGUAUCAAAGCUCCGGCGGUACAGGAUGGACCCGCGUCUGAUUAGCUAGUUGGUAAGGUAACGGCUUACCAAGGCGACGAUCAGUAGCCGACCUGAGAGGGUGAUCGGCCACAUUGGAACUGAGACACGGUCCAAACUCCUACGGGAGGCAACAGUGGGGAAUAUUGCACAAUGGGCGAAAGCCUGAUGCAGCAACGCCGCGUGAGCGAUGAAGGCCUUCGGGUCGUAAAGCUCUGUCCUCAAGGAAGAUAAUGACGGUACUUGAGGAGGAAGCCCCGGCUAACUACGUG
rnacentral:rRNA from 1 species